AGCGAACGCUGGCGGCAGGCUUAACACAUGCAAGUCGAGCGGGCGUAGCAAUACGUCAGCGGCAGACGGGUGAGUAACGCGUGGGAACGUACCUUUUGGUUCGGAACAACACAGGGAAACUUGUGCUAAUACCGGAUAAGCCCUUACGGGGAAAGAUUUAUCGCCGAAAGAUCGGCCCGCGUCUGAUUAGCUAGUUGGUGAGGUAACGGCUCACCAAGGCGACGAACAGUAGCUGGUCUGAGAGGAUGAUCAGCCACAUUGGGACUGAGACACGGCCCAAACUCCUACGGGAGGCAGCAGUGGGGAAUAUUGGACAAUGGGGGCAACCCUGAUCCAGCCAUGCCGCGUGAGUGAUGAAGGCCCUAGGGUUGUAAAGCUCUUUUGUGCGGGAAGAUAAUGACGGUACCGCAAGAAUAAGCCCCGGCUAACUUCGUG
rnacentral:rRNA from 1 species